rnacentral:tRNA from 2 species
GCGGAUGUGGCGGAAUUGGUAGACGCGCCAGCUUGAGGGGCUGGUAACUUCGGUUGUGGGGGUUCAAGUCCCCCCAUCCGCACCA